UGGGAUUCAAACCCACGACCCUAAUAAUUAAUCCAUCAAACAUCUGACUUGGUCAAACAUUCGCAAUUGGGCUAAUAUGACAGCUAGAAAGAUCCGAACAUUGCAUACUGACACUCUAGCGCUUGGCCACACCGCUCAUCCCUAUAACACAAGACAUCAUCAGUUGGUCAAUCACCAACACUCACACGCGAACUAGGUAAUCAUGCUCAGCCGAGACGUUGAAGAAGAGAAUGCCCAUCUUACAAUCCCGAAGUUCCUUGGGCACGUACUCUGAAUGCCAGGUGACCGGGAAGGCAACGGACGUCAUUCAGUUCAGCACCUGUUUGGGGAUGAUGAAAACAUGCUACGACCUAGCCAAUGCACAACACUUGCCCGAGAUCGUCGUAACUGAAAGAGGCUUAUAGUCGCGUAGUUUACAGCAGAAUGCUGAUGAUAAUGAUAAACCAGCUAUCUACCUACCACCGCAUAAUUACACACCAGAUCAAAAAUCAAUACACGGACUUUGAGAAGGCAGGUCAGGUUGGAUUGAGACUCGCAUCAUUCUGCAGAUUGUGAUGGAAAGGUGGCUAAUAGUAUCUUAUUGUCGAAGCGGAGGACAGUUCGUUUUUCUUCUUGGCUUCCUGCUUACAACUUCUUGGAUUUGGGAUUAUAUA